AGAAACAAGAUUUUAAUCUUUGCAAAACAUUGAAACUAUGACUUAAAAACUAUAAACAAGAUGUUGAAACUUUGUACAAGGAUCAAGGUUUUGAAACCCCUAUAUAUAAGAGAAACAUUAUUGAUGGGAAUUUUGAAUCUGAAAUGAAAAGCUUUGUUGUAUAUUGAUUUUUUCUUUUCUUUUUUUUUAUUUUUUUUAAUUAUUUUUUUUUUGAGUCAAAUAUCGUAAUUACAAUCAUCAACUUAUUUUUAAAAAGAGUAGUGUCAUACAUUUUGAGGUCUACACUUUGAGAUUAUACAUUUUGAUUCUUUUUCGAAACAUUAAUGCACACAUGCUUGAAUUUAUUGGCAAAAGGAUGGUUUUGAGAGUUGUUUUAAAAUGAGGAGAUGUAAUAUGUGAGUGUUAAGACAAAACAUGAUAUACCAAAAAUUUUGCCCCAGUUUGAUGUUUGGGAAAAUGAGCAUGGGAUUUGAGCAAGGUGAAAAAUCCCAGUGAAAAAUUCAUAAGGUUGUCCCUACUUUGAGGGCAAAUCAAUAUCAUGUGAGGCCCAACAUAGGUGCCCCCCCUGUUUUUCGGUGUAUGAGUUCUGUCAAGAAAGGUAGUGUAAAUGAAGAGGAUCAGUUUAACAAGGUUGCCCCAAUUGUUUUUUUUUUGUUGUUUUUUUUUUCGCACGCUUCUGGUUAGAUGGCAGAGUGACCCCCUAUUCUUGAGACAUUACCCUUUUUUUUUACGACACUUUGAAAGUCGCCAUAUCGCAAAGUUAAGCUUUAUGAAAAUUUGAGCAAACAUUAUUCGAUCUGCGUGGACUUUAUUAGGCUUGUAACGUGGCUAGGGGAUAAAAGGUUUUGAAAGAUAAGACAUAAAGGCCCAAAUGAAUAUUUGUUGGUUAUAUUUUUUUUUGAAACAAGGGUUAUCAUCUAAGUAUUGCAUCAACUUUUCG
rnacentral:lncRNA from 1 species